rnacentral:rRNA from 1 species
AUUGAACGCUGGCGGCAGGCCUAACACAUGCAAGUCGAGCGAGCGGCGGACGGGUGAGUAAUGUAUGGGGACUGCCCGAUAGAGGGGGAUAACUACUGGAAACGGUAGCUAAUACCGCAUACUAUCGGAUAACCCAUAUGGGAUUAGCUCGUACGUGAGGUCAUGGCUCACCUAGGCGACGAUCCCUAGCUGGUCUGAGAGGCUGAGCAGCCAAACGGGAACUGAGACACGACCAAGAAGCCUACGGAGGCAGCAGUGGGGAAUAUGGCACAAUGGGCGAAAGCCUGAUGCAGCCAUGACGCGUGUAUGAAGAAGGACAUAGGGUUGUAAAGUACUUUCAGUCGGGAGGCGUUACCGACAGAAGAAGCACCGGCUAACUCCGUGCCAGCAGCCGCGGUAAUAC